rnacentral:sRNA from 1 species
AAAGAAGAGUCUCUACCGUGGCUUAAUGCUGGAGACCUGUAGGAAUCUCAGCGCUAUAGGCUACAUUUGGGAAGACAAUAGUACUGAAGAAUAUUGUAAAAGUUCUAGAAGACAUGGAAGGUAAUUUUCACGUGAAAGAUGAUAAGAUAAUACCUCCCAAGAAAGUUUCAUGUGUGCAGCAAGUUUUAAAGAAAAGAAACUGGGUAAAAUACACACUGCAUCAAAUAUUGAUUGGGUCAUCAUUAUAUGUCUACACCCUUUUAAUAAGCAAAUAGUCCAUAGUAAAUUGUGGUGAACCGUAUUCUGUAACAGCAUGGCUAAAUUUAAGGAUAUGGACAGUUUUAGAGAUUCAAGAAUGGUUUUGUGGAGAAACCUGAAACCCUGUACCACAUCUCUCUGAGGAAAACAAAUUGAAAUUUUGUAAAUGUAAUAUAGAAAUUUAUUUUGUUAUGUGUUGAAUGUAAUGCAUUAUUCUUCUUUUGCUAUGGAUGUCAUAUGUCCCUAUGAAUGCAAGCCAGGAGAGCAUAGUGAUACUGAAAGAAGCAACAUACCUCUCUCUUUUCCAGAACAGUUAGAAGAUGUACAAUAGAUACCAGUUUGAGGAGAGUUUCUUAAUAUGGGAAAAGUUGAUAAAUAUUUAGUUUUUGACCAUGACGGUCAACAUGUACACAUUCAAAGUGCUGAAUCACUUUAUGAGAUUAGGGUUAUAGAAAUAUUCCUCUUUGUAUUGGCUCAUGUUGCAAAUGUAGUAUUCCUCAAAGAUAUCAAAAUUUAUGUUCACAGCCAGACUACAAACGCUCUGAGUUCAUAGAGUUUUCUUCAAAUAUGUUAACAAUCUUAAUAGAAAAAUUAUGGAAUGAA